GCGGCUGUGGCGGAAUCAGGUAGACGCGCGGGUCCCAGGAACCCGUGCCCUUACGGGCGUGGAGGUUCGAGUCCUCUCAGCCGCA
rnacentral:tRNA from 1 species